GUGUGCGACUUGUGUGAGCGCACUGGAGCUUCAAAGUUACAUAAAAUUAAGUUAUCAAUUACACAGAACAACGUUAUGUGUAAUCGGGGGUUGUUCUUUUGAAAUCUGUCGUUUUUGAUAACUUCCUUUAUUGUGAGGUUCAGUCCGCCCACACUAGUCACCGCUCAACUCCAUCUUAAAUAGCGGAGUUGGAGUUUAAUCGGCUACAUCUAAAUAAAUAGAUUCUCAAUUGCUGAAAAAUUCUGUAAAGAUAGCUAAAGCGCUCUACAUUUAUAUCACCUCUAAAUAAUUUCACAAAUGCAAAAUGUACACUUACUGUACGCUAUUUUAACAGUUUUUUACACACUUGGAUGCGACUGUAUUUUUCAGUGACAACACGUUCUAACAUUACCUACAUUUACACUCAGACUCGGAUAGCUAUUUGGCACAGGACACACAGAGGUCCUCGUGUUGGAGGAGGAGAAGGCCAACUUCUCAGGAGACUGUAUUCUGGGGAGGGAACUGCCGUGUUUGAAGAUCUCUAUGACUAUGUGAAAUCUCUGCAAAUCCUGUUGGACUCACAGGCUGACCUAAUAUAACCAACUCUGAAACACUGAAUGGUAUAAUUGAAUGAAAAGUGCUCAAAAAAGGCCAUAGCCCUGUGGUCCAAGAUGUAGCUUCUAAGAUCCAGCAUUACAUCAGCCAUAGAAACCUCAGAGAGCAACAGUUCCUCACUGUUCUCCAGGCAGCCUUAAGGAAACACAUGGACUUCUAUGGAACUGCUCAAAGUCGUCUACAAGGUGUGGGAAUUGUAACUUAAAGUUACGAUCCUCUGUUGGUAACCGUAAGAUUGAUAUACAGUAUGUGUAGAUGCUGACCCAAGAAUGUUAAGUCAUUCAAAACAUACUAACACUGCUUUGCCUAUAGAAAUGAACAUUUACAAAUCUGUGGAAUCUUGUGCUAUACUCUACUUUGUAUCUCACUUUAACAUUUAAGAGACACCUGAACGUCUUCAUAACGCAACAAAGGUGAACCUUGUGCAGCACCUUAAGAAAUUUGAGAAGGGUGGGAAGAUAACUGUUGGUUUGUCUUCAUUUCUUUCAAUUAAAUUGUCAUCUUAUGUUACACUAUUUGCUUAAUGUACCGUAAUACUAUGUUCUAGAUGUUUUUAUUUUGUCUCCAAUUUUCUUUCAGCCAGUGAUGAAUCUUCUCACACAAAUAAAUUGAAGAGUAGUUUAUGAUCCACACUUUAAUUCGACAAAGGACACUUGAGAUCUUGGAUUUCCCUGUGCAACGCACAAAUGAGCUUGGUUUGGUGUGAUAUGAAGAGUAUUUUGCAAGAAUAUGAAGUUAUUCUUCAUAUCAAUGAAAUGAUCGUGUCCGUACUGUCUGAAUACAGCCAAAGGAGAAAGUUGAAAUGUGAAAGAAGAAUAUAGCUGGCCCAGCACAUACAUUUAGUACAGUACCAAUGUACUGGUGGCCACCUUUCAUACAUUUUUAACAUGCCGACUUUGGACAUUUGAUAACAUCAUCUGAACUCAAAAUAAACACAUAUAAAUUGAAACCCUGUGCAAAGAGUUCAUUUCAACCAAGAUCACACUGAUUUUCCAAUUGAAACACCAAGAUCAAACUAUAUGAAUCCAUAAUGCAAAAUGUAUUGAUGCCUAAUAAAUUAUAGUUUUUCAAAAUAGAAUUAACGCUACUGAACGUUCUAAUUUCAUAAUUCAUUGCCUUUUGCUGAUUGUGCAAUUUAAACAUUGUAUGGGGC